rnacentral:lncRNA from 1 species
GGUAUAUGUUUCAGACCAGAUAGAUUUCUAUCAGAAGUAUUUUUAAAAAUAUUUACGUUAGGGUGCUUAAAUAUAUAACCUUCUAUGAUCUAGAACACUGACAAAUAUGUAUAACCCUUCUCCAGCAAUCCUGAAUAGUGUAUAUAGUACACAACUGCCCCAUUUUAGUAUUGCAUUGCAAAAGAACAAACACAACAUUUUUAAAUACUUUUAGUUCACAUUUUUUAAUGUUUAAAAACUAUGUUAACAGAGCAGUUAUAGAACAGAACUUCUUAUAUUUCUUUAUUUACACCACACUCUGAAAAAAAAAACCCAGUUCUAUUUGAUUAACUAUGAAUAGCAAAGUUUUGUGACUUGUGACUCACUUAAAUCACCCAUCUGAAAUUCAUUUACAAGGUUUUUACAUUAAUAAAACAGUAGUGUGGUACAUGUAUUGGACUCAGAUGAAGUCUAAAGUACACUGGACUCUAGAGAGUGGAUUACAUACCAACGACCAAGAUUCAAGUGUUUGGGGAAAAAAAUACCUUAGACAGUCUAUGUUGGCGUCAACACUAAAAUAAAAGGCAAACAUGCAGGACUUUCAAAGCUUGAUUAGAUAAUGGUUCUUUGUUUUCUUUCCUUCAAAUUUGUGCUCAUAAUUAAUAUUCAGGUUCCCUCUCCCCGCUUUCAUAGAUCCCAAAGUUUGAGAAAUGCAGCAAUUCAAUUGUGAAAAAAACAUUCUUCUCCCCAGCUUCUGUUUUCAUAUGUACUGUGUAGUGGUAUCAGUGUUAAAAAUGGAAGAUCAUUAUGAAGAAACAAUUUGUCAUUUGGGUAUAUCUGUUUCUAUAGGACAAGGAUUUGUGUCUAAAUAUUCCUUACUUGUAUCUCAGAGGACUAUCUGUUAAAUAAUUGAUCUUAAUGCCAGCAUAAGAAAUCAAGGGAACUAUUUCUCAGACAUUUCUUUCUCUAAAUUAAGUAGGGUUUCAGGUUCCAAGUUUACAUUGAGAGAACUAUGUUACCUGGGAGAGAAUGUAAAUUUUUCUAAUUCCCAAACAAAACCACUAAUUUCUAGGAAACAUUUAUUGUUUAUAUGCAGAUCCUAGAGACUUCUAUUUCAGUGCAGAUCAACAACUUCAAAAAUAUACAGCCUCCUAUUUAUUUACAAUAAUAUUUACAUACAAAUGAAGUAUUUCCUGCAAUAAGCCUCAGCUGCAUAGAUUCUUCCUUUAAAAACGUAAAUUUGAGCCUGUAUACAGAUGGGCCCAGUUUCAUAGCCCUUCCUUAGAUAAAAGCCUAAAGAAGGAAAAUGUCUGCACCUUGUGAACUUUACAUAUUUUGCAAGAACUUUCUCUUUGAGAUUUAGUGAUAGUUUUUAGUUGUUAGACACCCCACCUUCAGCUUGUACCUGAAAGCUUUAUCUCGUUAUAAAUAAUUCACUGUAAUUUAGGGGAAGUAUGUCCUGUUGCUAAAGGAUUCUCAAACCUGCCAUCCCCAAGGAAAAUCAUGUAUUAGUAUUGCUAAAUGAUGGUCUGUAUAUUCUUUGUUUUGAAGGUGGCUAGAUGUUUGCUGUAAACUUGAAUGGGAGAAUUAUAUUCUUAAAGUUUACACCCCCUAUAAGCCUAAAGCCAUUUAAAUUGAUAAACUGAGAGAGACUAAUAGAUUUUGCUCUAAGGUAUAAAAUCCAUUAUCUGAUCAUAUUCCUGACCUCCCCCCGACUCCAACUAAAUGUGCCAUAGUCCAACACUGUGCCUCACUGAAUUGGAACUCAGUAUUUCAUUCUUUUGAGAGCAGUUUGUAGCUCCUUAAGCAGAGCAGACCUUUCAGUAGAGAAUUCGCUUUAAAAGGAGGACAGGAUUAUCACCACACGAUUAACACAAACACUGGAGAACUUCUGACACAAAUUCAGUAUUUCUUCUAAGUCUGCAUUUACAAAGGGUCUUUUAUUUUAAUUUCUUUCACAACUGCCUCGCCCCAACCAAAGCCUCACUUUCAUUUCCUCACAGCUUUAAAAAAUAAAAUAUUAUCAUGCCUCAGCCCGAGGUAACACCGAGUGCAGGCAGCCUGUGUUUAGGAAUUUGCACCUGCGCUGCUAUUUUCAACGAGAAGGGGAUAACCAGGUGGCAGCGCUGGAUUCACUCACUUUCUUGCCAUUGCAGAGACCCCUGCCGCCAGGCUCCUUUCCUCCCCUCCCUAAAGCCUGGCUCCUGUAUGUUGCACCAUGAGUCCUAGGAAUCAUCUGGUGAGGGAGGACUAAUGGGAAGUAAAAGGGAGACUCAUUGGCUUAGGGUGGUUCUCAAACUUGAUGCGCUUUAGAAUCAUUUGCUGAGUCCCUCCCUGAGAGCUUCUGACUUCACCAUGUCUGGGAGGGGGCUGAGAAUCUGCAUUCUAAUGAGGUCCCCGAUGAUGCUGAUGCUACUGGUCUAGGGGCCACACUUUGAGAACCACUGGCUUAGAGGCAUGAAUCAAGCUCUAGAAAGCAGUCAGUUCCAGGGUAAUAGUCUUAGGUGCUCGCCGAAGCACUGAGGAAUCUUACCACAACCCUGUGUCCACCACAAGCCCUAUCACCAUCACCCAUCUGGGUGCUUCUUUUUCUCAACAGGGUCUGUAACUGUAAAAAAGGAAAGUGGGUGGAGAGGUUUUUUUUUCCCCCUUUUUUCUUGUUUUCUAACCUCCCAGCUUAUUCCUGGAGAGUUAAAACACAGUUACUAGCACUAAAAACAUUAAAAGUGCUGCGCGCUGGCCUCAAUGACUGGUACAUUGGAGAAGCUAUGCAGCAGCAUCCUUUUCUGUGGUGGGCAGGGCAGGAGAUGAACCAUAGGAGCCAAAAGUCAGACAAACAGAAGAAGGCACACCAAGCCUGAACCCUCCGGACAACAGCAGAGUUACCAGCUGAGGGAUGUCCCUGGAGGUUUCUGACCCAUGAGAGGCCCCCUCACCCUCCUUCACCCUCCUCCUACCACCAAGCUCUCCAGCAGUCAUGGACUUAUUCCUCCCCGUUUUUACUGGACACCAUGUUUCAGGCCAAUCUGGUCACCUGUAGUCUGGUGGCAUCUCUACCCCUACUGUCCAGUAGGUGGGAUGUGGCUGGGAUGGACAGUCCAGAUUCUACUAACAGGCAACUCUGAACAAACACCCUCCCUGGAAACAAUAUUAUAUUUGAUGGUUAGAUUCUUUAGCAAACCUAUUACAUUAUUCGAUGUCAGCUAACCUAUUGGUUUGAUCAUCUUUUCCAGCUGCUCUAGGGGCCUAACCACCAUGGAUAACCUGGUCUCUAAAGGAAAAUACAUUCCAGGUUGCAAACAACCAACUGACAACCUUUUGGAAUAUGAUCUCCUUAUACACUGGGGCUGCCUGUGCCUAAACACAGUAGAUUUCCCUCCUGUGCGUAUUUCAUCAGCCCCACUUCCAAUAAGUAACAUUAAGUAAAUUAGGGAUUGACAGUAUUCUGUGUUACAAUAACUAGAGAACAGUUCUAAGUCCAAAGUGUGGAACUGGCACUGUUCACUAGUAUAGAGAUCCUACCUACCAAAGGAAAACGUGCUGCUCCCCAUGCCUAGGGUAUAGUAUUCUUUAAUCUACUAAUUUAGCAGAAAAACUUCCAUAGCACUUGACUGUGCUGUUUAAAUUCGACCUAACAUCUGUGAUACAUGUAUUUUUGGCUACCAAUUAACUAUUCUGAAUAAGAAUAAGAGCAGUAUACUUUACAGCUAAUCUCACACAAAGGAUGUAACUAAUCAGUGAUAUUUGACGAAUUAUGGUAGGGUCUAUUAUAUUCAGUCAACAACAAAUUUAGAGAAACAUACAAAGGUUUUUAAAAAUAUGGGUGGUGUCACACAGAUCAACAACACUGUGCCUCCUCUAAAUAAAUCUAUUUUAAAUAAAUAUUCCUUGUAUUGACACAUGAAACCCAGAGGCCCAAAAAUAUCACUACACAUCCCAGUUAAUGAUAAGGUUCUAAAUUGACUUUGUGAGGGUAAAAUGAAUUGCUAUAAAGUAACAAGGAAAAUAGAAAGUAGCAUAAUAUAGCUUGCAAACUAAAUUAUGUAUUUUUAAAGGUACAGUCAUCCCACUACCUGGCUAUUUCAUUACUUGGUGCUCUAGACAAGCUCCCAAGAACUGACUGGAUCUUGGCUUGUUCUGUUUCUGUCAUUGCUAAUAUAAUAUGGAAAACAUUGCUGAAAAGAACAGAGAUGGCCAUGGAUAUGGCUAGGUUAGGUAUUCAUAUCCAAAUAUCUGAACUCUAACCUAAUGUGGAUAUGAUUCUGUAGCAUUAUAUUAAAAGCUAUGAUGAUGCAAUGCAGGAAAUAACCUUUCAUUCUCCCCCCUAGAGGAUCACGACAGGUGCUUCAAUGCCUGCCUUAUCUAUGGGACAGUAGUGUGAUUCUCAGUGAGAGUGAAGGCCUUUGGGGAUUUGAGUCAGGAAGGGAACAUGGCUAAGUGCCUGGAAACUCUGAGAGGGACAAGGGUAAGAGUACCAGGCAACUCUGUCCUCCUGCAUGGACAGUUGAGACGGGCAGUAAUGGCACAGUCCUUGGUUGGGGAAGAGAAGAGGAGACAGCACAGACACUGAGACCCCCUUGUCUUCCUCAUCUGGGGGAAGGAAGGUACUCAGUGAUUCUGUCAGAAGCUCUUCACAAAGACUAUCUCUGAGGGUUUUUUUUUUUUUUUUUUCACAAGACUAGAUGGAGAAUUAAUGAAGAAGAAAUAGAAAUGAGGCUUAUUUAAGGUACAAAAUUCUUGUAUUUGUAAUAACCUAGAUUUAUAGAUAUAAAACAAGUCUUUUAAAGACUUCCCUAAAAUACUCAAUAUAAAACAGGAGUUACUUAUCCU